ACGCCUGUAGCAAUACAGGAGUGGCGCACGGGUGAGUANNNCCCGGGAACCUGCCUAGUGGUAAGGAAUAACCGCGGGAAACUGCGGCUAAUACCUUAUGAGCCCUACGGGGGAAAGAUUUAUCGCCAUUAGAGGGGCCCGCGUCCGAUUAGCUAGUUGGUGAGGUAACGGCUCACCAAGGCGACGAUCGGUAGCUGGUCUGAGAGGAUGAUCAGCCACACUGGGACUGAGACACGGCCCAGACUCCUACGGGAGGCAGCAGUGG
rnacentral:rRNA from 1 species